UACACUCCUACGGGAGGCAGCAGUGGGGAAUUUUGGACAAUGGGCGAAAGCCUGAUCCAGCAAUGCCGCGUGAGUGAAGAAGGCCUUCGGGUUGUAAAGCUCUUUUGUCAGGGAAGAAACGGUGAAAGCUAAUAUCUUUUGCUAAUGACGGUACCUGAAGAAUAAGCACCGGCUAACUACGUGCCAGCAGCCGCGGUAAUACGUAGGGUGCAAGCGCUAAUCGGAAUUACUGGGCGUAAAGCGUGCGCAGGCGGUUUUGUAAGUCUGAUGUGAAAUCCCCGGGCUCAACCUGGGAAUUGCAUUGGAGACUGCAAGGCUAGAAUCUGGCAGAGGGGGGUAGAAUUCCACGUGUAGCAGUGAAAUGCGUAGAUAUGUGGAGGAACACCGAUGGCGAAGGCAGCCCCCUGGGUCAAGAUUGACGCUCAUGCACGAAAGCGUGGGGAGCAAACAGGAUUAGAAACCCCUGUAGUCCCAU
rnacentral:rRNA from 1 species